UACGGAGGGGGCAAGCGUUGUUCGGAAUUACUGGGCGUAAAGGGCGCGCAGGCGGCUGCUCAAGUCAGGCGUGAAAUUUCCGGGCUUAACUCGGAAAGGUCAACUGAUACUGUGCGACUAGAGUGCAGAAGGGGCAACUGGAAUUCUCGGUGUAGCGGUGAAAUGCGUAGAUAUCGAGAGGAACACCUGCGGCGAAGGCGGGUUGCUGGGCUGACACUGACGCUGAUGCGCGAAAGCCAGGGGAGCGAACGGG
rnacentral:rRNA from 1 species